rnacentral:rRNA from 1 species
GACGAACGCUGGCGGCGUGCUUAACACAUGCAAGUCGAACGGAAAGGCCCUGCUUGCAGGGUACUCGAGUGGCGAACGGGUGAGUAACACGUGGGUGAUCUGCCCUGCACUUCGGGAUAAGCCUGGGAAACUGGGUCUAAUACCGGAUAGGAGCCAUUUUUAGUGUGAUGGUUGGAAAGUUUUUUCGGUGUAGGAUGAGCUCGCGGCCUAUCAGCUUGUUGGUGGGGUAAUGGCCUACCAAGGCGGCGACGGGUAGCCGGCCUGAGAGGGUGGACGGCCACAUUGGGACUGAGAUACGGCCCAGACCCCUACGGGAGGCAGCAGUGGGGAAUAUUGCACAAUGGGCGCAAGCCUGAUGCAGCGACGCCGCGUGGGGGAUGACGGCCUUCGGGUUGUAAACUCCUUUCGCUAGGGACGAAGCUUUUUGUGACGGUACCUAGAUAAGAAGCACCGGCUAACUACGUG